rnacentral:rRNA from 1 species
UACGUAGGGGGCAAGCGUUGUCCGGAAUCAUUGGGCGUAAAGCGCGUGUAGGCGGCUUGGUAAGUCCGCUCUGAAAGCCCGGGGCUUAACCCCGGGUCUGCAGUGGAUACGGGCAGGCUAGAGGUAGGUAGGGGAGAAUGGAAUUCCCGGUGUAGCGGUGAAAUGCGCAGAUAUCGGGAGGAACACCGGUGGCGAAGGCGGCUCUCUGGACCGACACUGACGCUGAGGCGCGAAAGCGUGGGGAGCAAACAGG